CACACUUCCAAAUCUGAUAUAUAGACUUAAUGAAAUGCCAAUCUAACCGAUAACAUUCUUCAUAAAGAAAACAAUCCUAAAAUUAAUAUGAAACCAGAUGAGACCCAGAAUAGCAAAAGCAAACCUGGUCAACAAGAGCAAAGCAGGAAGCAUCACAAUCUCAAACUUGAAAUUACACUCCAGAGUGACAGUGAAUAAAACAGCAUGGUACUGGCACAAAAACAGACAUAUGGAUCAAUGGAACCAAAUAGAGAAAGUAGAAACAACCCCAGGCACAUUCAAUUAUUUGAUCUUUGACAAAGGGGCCAAAAUAUACAAUGGAGGAAAGAUAGACUCUUUCAUAUAUGAUGCUGGGAAAAUUGGCUAUCCACACAGAAAAGAUUGAAUCUACAUCCAUAUGUCUCAUCAUGUACUAAACUAUAAUCAAAGUGAAUCAAAGAUCUAUAUGUUAAAACAGAAACAAUCUGCUGGAAGAUAAAACAGAUAAAACUGUCAUAUAAGUGUAUUGCAAGAACUUUCUGAACAGAACCCCAAUGGCACAAGAAAUAGUAGAAAGAACCAGGCAUGGUGCCACAUGCCUAUAAUCUCAGCACUUGGGAGAGUGAGACAGAAGGACUGCUUCAAGUUCAAGACCUUGUAUAUAUAUAAAAAAGAGAUAGUAGCAAGAAUCAACAAAUGGGAUCAUAUCAAAUUACAGAGUUUCUGCACAGCAAAGAAACAACCAACAAUAGCAAAGAGACAACCUACAGAAUGGGAAAAUAAAAUUGCCAGCUAUUCCUUGGACAGAGGACUAACAUCUAGAAUUUAUAAAAAACUCAAAAAACUUAGACCUUCCCAAAAAGACCCAAUUAAAAAAUGUGCAACCAAAUGAAUAGACACUUCGCAGAAGUACAAAUGGCCAAUAAAUAUAUGAAAAAAAAUGUUCAACGUUGCUGGCCAUUAGAGAAACCACAUAAAUAUCCCUAGCCCCAGUCCACAGUUCACCUCUCUCAAGGGCUGCAUUCUAGUUUCUUAUUUAUUCUGCUUAAUAAACCAUUUUAGCUCUCUCACUGACACAUCCUGAAAUUCUUUUCUUCAACAAGAGUCAAGAAGCUACUUGGUGGGCUGUGUUGCGGUGACCAUCUUCCUCUUUGGGAGAAUUCUUGGACCCUGUCCAAUGAUGCUCCAAGUUUCUAAAGUGCAAAUUAAUUCAGCUUUUCCAGUCAUUUUAUAAUACUCCCAUCU
ensembl:lncRNA